AUUGCCUCAGUAACGGCGAGUGAAGCGGCAACAGCUCAAAUUUGAAAUCUGCCGCAAGGCCGAGUUGUAAUUUGUAGAGGAUGCUUCUGGGCAGCGGCCGGUGUAAGUUCCUUGGAACAGGACGUCAUAGAGGGUGAGAAUCCCGUAUGCGACCGGUUGGCACCCGUCACGUAGCUCCUUCGACGAGUCGAGUUGUUUGGGAAUGCAGCUCUAAAUGGGCGGUAAAUUCCAUCUAAAGCUAAAUACCGGCCAGAGACCGAUAGCGCACAAGUAGAGUGAUCGAAAGAUGAAAAGCACUUUGGAAAGAGAGUUAAAAAGCACGUGAAAUUGUUGAAAGGGAAGCGCAUGCAACCAGACUUGUCGGCGGUGUUCCGCCGGUCUUCUGACCGGUCUACUCGCCGCCGACAGGCCAGCAUCGUGUGGGUGUGCCGGAUAAAGGCGUCGGGAAUGUGGCCCCUCGGGGUGUUAUAGCCCGGCGCAUAAUACGGUGCCGCCCGCGCGAGGUCCGCGCUUCGGCUAGGAUGCUGGCGUAAUGGUCGUAUGCGGCCCGUCUUGAAACACGGACCAAGGAGUCUAACAUCUGUGCGAGUGUUCGGGUGUCAAACCCCUACGCGGAAUGAAAGUGAACGGAGGUGGGAGCUUCGGCGCACCAUCGACCGAUCCUGAUGUCCUCGGAUGGAUUUGAGUAAGAGCAUAGCUGUUGGGACCCGAAAGAUGGUGAACUAUGCCUGAAUAGGGUGAAGCCAGAGGAAACUCUGGUGGAGGCUCGCAGCGGUUCUGACGUGCAAAUCGAUCGUCAAAUUUGGGUAUAGGGGCGAAAGACUAAUCGAACCAUCUAGUAGCUGGUUCCUGCCC
rnacentral:rRNA from 1 species